CCUACGGGAGGCAGCAGUGGGGAAUUUUGGACAAUGGGCGCAAGCCUGAUCCAGCAAUGCCGCGUGCAGGAAGAAGGCCUUCGGGUUGUAAACUGCUUUUGUCAGGGAAGAAAUCUUCUGGGCUAAUACCCCGGGAGGAUGACGGUACCUGAAGAAUAAGCACCG
rnacentral:rRNA from 1 species